rnacentral:tRNA from 1 species
GUUGUAGCUCAGUGGUAGAGUAUUUGCCUCGAAUGUGUGUGGCACUGGGUUCGAUCCUCAGCACA